rnacentral:rRNA from 1 species
CCUACGGGAGGCAGCAGUGGGGAAUCUUGGACAAUGGGCGAAAGCCUGAUCCAGCGACGCCGCGUGGGGGAUGAAGCCCUUCGGGGUGUAAACCCCUGUUGCGAGGGAGGAAUAAGGCCUGGAGGAAAUGCCAGGCCGAUGACUGUACCUCGCGAGGAAGCCCCGGCUAACUACGUGCCAGCAGCCGCGGUAAUACGUAGGGGGCGAGCGUUACCCGGAUUCACUGGGCGUAAAGCGGGUGUAGGCGGCUCGGUAAGUCGGGUGUGAAAUCCCACAGCUCAACUGUGGAAUUGCGCCCGAAACUGCUGAGCUUGGGGCCGGUAGAGGGAGACGGAACUGCCGGUGUAGGGGUGAAAUCCGUAGAUAUCGGCAGGAACGCCGGUGGGGAAGCCGGUCUCCUGGGCCGCGCCCGACGCUGAGACCCGAAAGCUAGGGAGCAAACC